rnacentral:rRNA from 1 species
GACGAACGCUGGCGGCGUGCCUAAUACAUGCAAGUAGAACGCUGAAGGAGGGGCUUGCUCUUCUGGAUGAGUUGCGAACGGGUGAGUAACGCGUAGGUAACCUGCCUGGUAGCGGGGGAUAACUAUUGGAAACGAUAGCUAAUACCGCAUAAAAUUGAUUAUUGCAUGAUAGUCAAUUAAAAGGUGCAAUUGCAUCACUACCAGAUGGACCUGCGUUGUAUUAGCUAGUUGGUGAGGUAACGGCUCACCAAGGCAACGAUACAUAGCCGACCUGAGAGGGUGAUCGGCCACACUGGGACUGAGACACGGCCCAGACUCCUACGGGAGGCAGCAGUAGGGAAUCUUCGGCAAUGGACGGAAGUCUGACCGAGCAACGCCGCGUGAGUGAAGAAGGUUUUCGGAUCGUAAAGCUCUGUUGUAAGAGAAGAACGAGUGUGAGAGUGGAAAGUUCACACUGUGACGGUAUCUUACCAGAAAGGGACGGCUAACUACGUG